AAACCAACCGGGAUUGCCUCAGUAACGGCGAGUGAAGCGGCAAAAGCUCAAAUUUGAAAUCUGCGUAAGCCGAGUUGUAAUUUGAAGAUGGCUACUUUGGUAAUGGCUCUUGUCUAUGUUCCUUGGAACAGGACGUCACAGAGGGUGAGAAUCCCGUGCGAUGAGAUGUCCAUUACCGUGUAAAGUGCUUUCGAAGAGUCGAGUUGUUUGGGAAUGCAGCUCUAAGUGGGUGGUAAAUUCCAUCUAAAGCUAAAUAUUGGCGAGAGACCGAUAGCGAACAAGUACAGUGAUGGAAAGAUGAAAAGAACUUUGAAAAGAGAGUGAAAAAGUACGUGAAAUUGUUGAAAGGGAAGGGCUUGAGAUCAGACUUGGUAUUUUGUAUGGCUUGCUUUCGGGCGGGUCCUCUGCAGUUUACUGGGCCAGCAUCGGUUUGGGUGGCAGGAUAAUAGCAUAGGAAUGUGGCUCUACUUCGGUGGAGUGUUAUAGCCUUUGUUGAUACUGCCUGCCUAGACCGAGGACUGCGUCUUUUGACUAGGAUGCUGGCAUAAUGAUCCUAAGCCGCCCGU
rnacentral:rRNA from 1 species